rnacentral:tmRNA from 1 species
AAAAAUCAAUGAAGAACUAAACAUGUAGAAAGCAUUAGUGCUGCUUGUUUGGACCCGGGUUCGACUCCCGGCAUCUCCACAA